rnacentral:rRNA from 1 species
AAGGAGCGAUCCGGAGACAAACUCCCAGAAAGACCGUCCCAGUUCGGAUUGCAGUCUGCAACUCGACUGCAUGAAGCCGGAACCGCUAGUAAUCGCGGAUCAGAAUGCUGCGGUGAAUACGUUCCCGGGCCUUGUACACACCGCCCGUCACACCAUGAGAGUCGGGGACACCCGAAGUCCGUAGUCUAACCGCAAGGGGACGCGGCCGAAGGUGGAUUCGAUAAUUGGGGUGAAGUCGUAACAAGGUAGC